UGUUGGGUCGAAUGGCCUGAAAGCGUGGGCUCAAGUGCCCAUUACUCCUCUAUCUCACUAUCUCUCAUUUCUCAGUGUUAUACCAAACUCUCUCUAUAUUGCUCUGUUGCUCAUCGUUCUUCCAAAUCAUCUCCGAAUCAUUCGAGUCAAUCACAUCCUCUCUCCUCCCAAACGACGCUGGAAAGUUACACUGUGGAAACGAGUGUCAGCGUGCUUAGUGGAGAUUUUGAAUACUCCUCUUAGAAGUUCACCCUCACAACUGAAUCUCAAUUUAAGGAAUGGAUGGUGUGCAAUGGAGGAUGAGGGAAUGGCCGCUGUCGUCCGUCUUCAUCCUAAUUCUGUUGCUUCAUUGUGUGGGCAUUCUGUUUUUCACCAGAGGCUUUCUCCUCACCAGAACUGAGCUUCCCCAUUACAGCAAUUGCUCCGAUGUUUGCCAAUCCCCCUGCCUCCAACCUCAUCCUCCUUCCUAUGCUUCUCCUCGCCAUCCAAAUCUCAACCCUGACCAGUCUUGCUGGACAAAACCGGUCAUUGAUCGCCUUGUUAUCAUUGUUCUCGACGCUCUCAGGUUUGAUUUCGUCGCACCCAGUACCUUUUUUGAAGAGAAAAAACCAUGGAUGGACAAGUUACAAGUGCUACAGAAACUGGCAUGUCAGGAAGGAUCAUCAGCUAAGAUUUUCAAAUCCAUUGCGGAUCCACCCACAACCAGUUUACAACGGUUGAAGGGCUUGACAACAGGUGGACUUCCAACUUUUAUUGAUGUUGGGAAUAGCUUUGGUGCCCCUGCAAUUGUUGAAGAUAACCUGAUAUAUCAACUAGUUCAUAAUGGAAAGCGAGUGAUAAUGAUGGGGGAUGAUACAUGGUUGCAGUUGUUUCCUCACCAUUUUAAUAAAUCUUAUCCCUUUCCCUCCUUUAAUGUUAAGGAUCUUCAUACGGUAUAUUGCUAACUGUUUCGUAUAUAUUGAAAAUGAAACUUCAGUACUAACUUUAUUGUGCAUCAAAAUGUCGACAACGGGUGCACCACACACUUGUUCCCAUCCUUGUAUGAAGAAGAUUGGGAUGUUCUUAUUGCACAUUUUCUUGGU